AGUAUAUUUGUGUUGUACUGGACUUUCAAUUUAAGUUUGGUGGCAUAGUCAUUAAGAUACCUCACCUAAACAGAGAGGAAAAAUCAGCAUGGGAUCAGUGCAGGCGAUAUCCCAAGUGGGCCAAGAUGGGCCCAUCUUGCCUGCUCAGUUAGCCGGUCAGAACACAGGAUUUGCCUCAUCUUGCCAAUGGCCAUUGCGAGCAAUGUAUUUGCUUUAAGGGAAUGUUGAGGUGUUACCAGGGCCUUUUGAGCAAGACCACUUCAGGACAUGCACUUUUUGUUUUGUGAUAUCAAUUCUUUACUUUCCACCACUCACCAAUAAUCUAAAUGGAGGUGUAAAUCAGGAAGAAAAUUGAUGUGCUACUUCUCGUAUUACAGGACCUAAUAAAGGGUAAAACGCUGAACCGGAAGGGAAAUCAAAAUGUAACAAAAAAAUAAUAUGAUCCGAAAAUAAGAAAACCUAUUACACAAUUGUGCAAAUAACGAAAGCUAGUUGACAUUUCAAACUUUAAUCCUCGUGUCACUUUCCUUCACGAAAGUUUAUAACUCUCACGAUCAAAUGAAGGUUUUGAAAUGGAAGCCUUUUCAGAGGUUCCAUCUACGAUCGAUACAAUCACGUUCCUGUUCGUCUGUCACCUGCAGCAUUCGAUCUGUAUCGGUUUUAUUCUUAUGGCAGCUGCGGAUGGUUUAGUUUUUCUUCACAUUUCAAUUGUGCUUCUAAAUUGUCAGCCACUCAUUACCCUCCAAACGAGUAACAUAUUGUUUAGCACUAUUUUAAGAUUGAUUAUCAAUAUUUCCGACAAGCAACUUUGAGAUGUUUGCCUUCCAAAUUUUUUUAAAAAAAAUUCGAUCACCAAAAUUUGAACGUGAUGAGCACCAAUAAAACUAUCUGAAAACAGUUCUAAUCAUAAAAAUUACUACUAGCCCAAGUUUAAAUCAGUCCUUUUCUAGCUAGACAAUAAAGUCGAACGAACUGUGAUUCUUAAAACGAAAGUUGUAGAACUUCAACACAUCACGCAGGUUUCGCACGAUUCGCGGAUAUAGAGAUGAAAAUAGAUAUAAGUUUCACACUUUCGAUUGCAUUUAAAGAACUCGAUACUUCAUAAAAUAUCCUC